rnacentral:rRNA from 1 species
AGUGAACGCUGGCGGUAGGCCUAACACAUGCAAGUCGAACGGCAGCACAGUAAGAGCUUGCUCUUACGGGUGGCGAGUGGCGGACGGGUGAGGAAUACAUCGGAAUCUACUUUUUCGUGGGAGAUAACGUAGGGAAACUUACGCUAAUACCGCAUACGACCUACGGGUGAAAGCAGGGGAUCUUCGGACCUUGCGCGAUUGAAUGAGCCGAUGUCGGAUUAGCUAGUUGGCGGGGUAAAGGCCCACCAAGGCGACGAUCCGUAGCUGGCCUGAGAGGAUGAUCAGCCACACUGGAACUGAGACACGGUCCAGACUCCUACGGGAGGCAGCAGUGGGGAAUAUUGGACAAUGGGCGCAAGCCUGAUCCAGCCAUACCGCGUGGGUGAAGAAGGCCUUCGGGUUGUAAAGCCCUUUUGUUGGGAAAGAAAAGCAGCAGGUUAAUACCCCGCUGUUCUGACGGUACCCAAAGAAUAAGCACCGGCUAACUUCGUG